AAUAAUAAUAAUAAUAAUAAUAAUAAUAAUUGAAAAUUAGCAGGAAGCUAGGGGAGCAAAUGGUAUCAGAUACCCAGUAGUUCUAGCCGUAAAUGGUGGAUACUAGGCGUUGUGCAUAUAGACCUGUGCAGUACUGCAUCUAACACAUUAAAUAUUCCGUCUGGGGUGUACGUUCGCAAGAAUGAAACUCAAAGAAAUUGACGGGGAACAAUAGUGUA
rnacentral:ncRNA from 1 species